ACGCACGCUGGCGGCGUGCCUAAUACAUGCAAGUAGAACGCUGAAGGCGGAGCUUGCUUCUCUGGAUGAGUUGCGAACGGGUGAGUAACGCGUAGGUAACCUGCCUGGUAGCGGGGGAUAACUAUUGGAAACGAUAGCUAGUACCGCAUAAGAGUAGAUGUUGCAUGACAUUUGCUUAAAAGGUGCAAUUGCAUCACUACCAGAUGGACCUGCGUUGUAUUAGCUAGUUGGUGGGGUAACGGCUCACCAAGGCGACGAUACAUAGCCGACCUGAGAGGGUGAUCGGCCACACUGGGACUGAGACACGGCCCAGACUCCUACGGGAGGCAGCAGUAGGGAAUCUUCGGCAAUGGACGGAAGUCUGACCGAGCAACGCCGCGUGAGUGAAGAAGGUUUUCGGAUCGUAAAGCUCUGUUGUAAGAGAAGAACGAGUGUGAGAGUGGAAAGUUCACACUGUGACGGUAGCUUACCAGAAAGAGACGGCUAACUACGUG
rnacentral:rRNA from 1 species